UUGCGGAGGAAAAGAAACCAACAGGGAUUGCCUCAGUAACGGCGAGUGAAGCGGCAAAAGCUCAAAUUUGAAAUCCCCCCGGGGAGUUGUAAUUUGAAGAUUGCGUCUUGGAGGCGACCGUGUCUAUGUUCCUUGGAACAGGACGUCACAGAGGGUGAGAAUCCCGUGCGGCACGGCCCCCGGCUCCUUAUAAGGCGCUCUCGACGAGUCGAGUUGUUUGGGAAUGCAGCUCAAAGUGGGUGGUAAAUUCCAUCUAAAGCUAAAUACAGGCGAGAGACCGAUAGCGAACAAGUACAGUGAUGGAAAGAUGAAAAGCACUUUGAAAAGAGAGUGAAACAGCACGUGAAAUUGUUGAAAGGGAAGGGCAUGCCGUCAGAUUGUCAGUGUGGGUAAGAAGCGGGGUACAAAGACUGUGGAACGUGGCCCUCGGGUGUUAUAGCCGCAGUUCAUGCCCCGUCUCUUUCCGAGGCCUGCUUUGAGGACACCGACGUAAUGACGGUACGCCGCCCGUCUUGAAA
rnacentral:rRNA from 1 species